CAGCUGCCAGUCGCACUCAAAGUCGCACACCUUGAAAGACAUUUUUAGUGUGAACCACACAGGGAAUCAACCUACGAACUACUUUCCACCAAAAAAACGUAAUAGUAAAGGAUCUACAUCAAUAUCACAGACUCCAGAAAACAAGAUAGCAAUGGAUGAAGAUGAAGAACAUUCUAUUGUAGGAUGGCUAUCGAGAACACUCCAG